rnacentral:pre_miRNA from 1 species
CCUGCUUGUGGGGCUGUAUGCAAUCGCUAGACGGAUUGCAUAGCCUUAUUAGUGGCCU